rnacentral:rRNA from 1 species
CCGUAAGAAGUUUGAAAUCUGGCUCAGAUUGAACGCUGGCGGCAGGCCUAACACAUGCAAGUCGAACGGUAGCACAGAGAGCUUGCUCUCGGUGACGAGUGGCGGACGGGUGAGUAAUGUCUGGGAAACUGCCUGAUGGAGGGGGAUAACUACUGGAAACGGUAGCUAAUACCGCAUAACGUCGCAAGACCAAAGAGGGGGACCUUCGGGCCUCUUGCCAUCAGAUGUGCCCAGAUGGGAUUAGCUAGUAGGUGGGGUAACGGCUCACCUAGGCGACGAUCCCUAGCUGGUCUGAGAGGAUGACCAGCCACACUGGAACUGAGACACGGUCCAGACUCCUACGGGAGGCAGCAGUGGGGAAUAUUGCACAAUGGGCGCAAGCCUGAUGCAGCCAUGCCGCGUGUAUGAAGAAGGCCUUCGGGUUGUAAAGUACUUUCAGCGGGGAGGAAGGCGUUGUGGUUAAUAACCUCAGCGAUUGACGUUACCCGCAGAAGAAGCACCGGCUAACUCCGUGCCAGCAGCCGCGGUAAUACGGAGGGUGCAAGCGUUAAUCGGAAUUACUGGGCGUAAAGCGCACGCAGGCGGUCUGUCAAGUCGGAUGUGAAAUCCCCGGGCUCAACCUGGGAACUGCAUUCGAAACUGGCAGGCUAGAGUCUUGUAGAGGGGGGUAGAAUUCCAGGUGUAGCGGUGAAAUGCGUAGACAGCUAGAGCAAUCCUGGCGAAGGCGGCCCCUGGACAAGACUGACGCUCAGGUGCGAAAGCGUGGGGAGCAAACAGGAUUAGAUACCCUGGUAGUCCACGCCGUAAACGAUGUCGACUUGGAGGUUGUGCCCUUGAGGCGUGGCUUCCGGAGCUAACGCGUUAAGUCGACCGCCCGGGGGUACGGACGAAACGUUAAAACUCAAAUGAAUUGACGGGGGCCCGCACAAGCGGUGGAGCAUGUGGUUUAAUUCGAUGCAACGCGAAGAACCUUACCUACUCUUGACAUCCAGAGAACUUUCCAGAGAUGGAUUGGUGCCUUCGGGAACUCUGAGACAGGUGCUGCAUGGCUGUCGUCAGCUCGUGUUGUGAAAUGUUGGGUUAAGUCCCGCAACGAGCGCAACCCUUAUCCUUUGUUGCCAGCGGUCAGGCCGGGAACUCAAAGGAGACUGCCAGUGAUAAACUGGAGGAAGGUGGGGAUGACGUCAAGUCAUCAUGGCCCUUACGAGUAGGGCUACACACGUGCUACAAUGGCGCAUACAAAGAGAAGCGACCUCGCGAGAGCAAGCGGACCUCAUAAAGUGCGUCGUAGUCCGGAUUGGAGUCUGCAACUCGACUCCAUGAAGUCGGAAUCGCUAGUAAUCGUAGAUCAGAAUGCUACGGUGAAUACGUUCCCGGGCCUUGUACACACCGCCCGUCACACCAUGGGAGUGGGUUGCAAAAGAAGUAUGUAGCUUAACCUUCGGGAGGGCGCUUACCACUUUGUGAUUCAUGACUGGGGUGAAGUCGUACAGGGGUAGCCGUAAAGU